UACGUAGGGUGCGAGCGUUAAUCGGAAUUACUGGGCGUAAAGGGUGCGCAUGCGGCAGAGCAAGUCGAGUGUGAAAGCCCCGGGCUUAACUUGGGAAUUGCGCUCGAAACUACUUUGCUGGAGUGUGGCAGAGGAAGGUGGAAUUCCACGUGUAGCGGUGAAAUGCGUAGAGAUGUGGAGGAACACCAAUGGCGAAGGCAGCCUUCUGGGCCAACACUGACGCUCAUGCACGAAAGCGUGGGGAGCAAACAGG
rnacentral:rRNA from 1 species